UUUCCUUUGUUUUUUUUUUUUUUUUUUUUUUUUUUUUUUUUUUUUUUUACUUUUUUAUGUGUCUGGUCUGGAUGUUUUUCCUACCUGUACCCUGGGUACUAUGUGUACACUUGGUGCCUGUGAAGAUGGCCAGAAAAGGGCACUGGGUCCCUGGAACUGCUUAUAAAUGGUUGUGAGUUACCCUGUGGGGUUCCGGGAGUGAGGUUGUGUUUGUUUGUUUGUUUGUUUGUUUGUUUGUUUUGGGUUUUUUAUACCUGAACCCAAGUUUUUUGCAAGAGCAGCAAGUCCUCUUAAGCACUGAGCCAUCUCUCCAACUAGUAAUUUUUUUUUUUCAAAAAGGUGAAUAAAGUUUUUAAAUAAUCCAGCAGGUACUUCCCCCGGGGUUGCAGGUGAGCUACUGGGCAUCCCCCACCCUUCCCUAGAUGCCCCUGCUAGGGUAGCUAACAAGGCCCCAGAGAACUAGCAGGCACUCUGCCUGGCCCCAGGGCCCCUGUGGGCCUCAGCUUUCAGCUCUGCAGACUAGACCUCCUGCAAGGUGGAUGCCUUUUCCACCCCAACUCCUCAGAUCGUUCUCAACAUCUGCCUGUAGGCAACACUGAUUCCAGGGCCCAUGUGGACCCCGAUGCACCCACCCAGACCCUAAAGCAGCUCCCCUACUCCUAUCCAGAGCAGGGCCCACAGCACAAGCAGCACUUUGCCUUGGGCCCAGGUGGGAGAAUUCAUUAAUUUCUUCUGCAAAAGCUCACAGCUGUUUGUUUAAUUGCUGCAAUGAAAAGGUUUCCAUGAAACCCAACACCCGCCCUUCCCACAGAGAGAGUAGAGCCUCCUGGACCCAGCAGGCUCAGAGGGAAUCAAAGCAGAAGUCUUUAGGUUUAAGGGCUGGGGCUCCCUGGGCAGAAGCUUCCCUGCCUCCACCCAUGAGCAGCACCCCGGUGCACACGCACAGUGGCAUGCACAGGUUCCAGAGGAAAGCAUGCUCAUCCUACCUACACCCCUGAGCCUGUGCACCCUUCACUGCACCAGCACAGGUGUGCCUAGCUGCUCUCUAGCCCCACAUGAGUUCACUUGUGUGCUGUGUGUUUGGUGAUGGUAUACUCAGUCUAAACACCCACACGCACUAGCGGGGUGCUUUUCAAACUCUUUCAGCGUGGACAGAAACUGUUCGUCAAGUAAAGCCUUAAAAACACUUGCCAAAUAUACAGUAAGUCUGGGCACUGAGAAGAGCGGGAGGGAGCUCAAAGAGCCUUGGCCACUUGGCCUCUUCUCUCUCCCCUGACGCCCACCCACCACUCCUGCCCAGCCCUAGGAAGAAUGGCUGGAGUCUGAUUUAGUCACUGCUUCUGAGAGCUGCCACCUAACAUGGGGCAUAGGGACAGACAUGCCUGAGCUUUCUCAAGGGUGACUAGGGUGGAGGGUAUUUCCGCAGAGUGCAUGGAUUACAAGGAAGACUGUGGCCAAGGGGGUGCAGGGGGAAUUCUGGCUCUCCACCCUUCCAUCCAUGACCCUUCCUUCCAUCCCAGAACUCAAUGAUUUGGAUGUUUGUUUGUUUUUAAGAUUUGUGGCUCUCUCUCCUGACCUUCCUAGCUAAGUGUGGUGUUAGCCCACACCCAGGACUACCUACUGUAGUGAGGGCAGGUGCUAGGUGUUCCCCAAGAUUCCCGUCAUAACUGGCACUUUUUAAAAUUCAUGCCCAGGGUGUUUUGUCUGCGUGUUCUCCGUGUGAGGGUGUUGGAUCCCUUGGAACUUGAGUUACAAACAGUUGUGAGCUGCCAUAUAGGUGCUGGGAAUUGAACCCAGGUCCUCUGGAAAAGCAGCCAGUGCUCUUAGCUACUGAGCCAUCUCCCUAGCCCCCAUAACUGGUACUUAUAGUAGGGCCCCACAACCCCAUCUCACUGAGCUCUAAGUGGGAAAGAAGAAUGGAGAAAGCCAGAAGAAAGGACACAACAGAGGCAGCCCCAGAAAACAAACGAACAGAACACCCAGUGGUUCCCAAAGCCAUAGUAGGAACCCCCUUCAGAAACCUUGCUGUGAGAACAAACCUCUUCCCAUGGCCGAGGGAACUCAUGACCCCAGAGCCUGGGCCAUGCCAGGCUAAGGAGAAGUGACACAAACUGCUUCUAACCACCAGCUCUCCUGUCUGGCAGGGCGCCAGGUUCCGGCUAGGUUCCUUCCUUGUCCAGCACCUGCUCACCACUCCCAGAAGAGCCCCCAGUAGCUGAGCCACUCUGAAAGCUCUCUGUCCAGCCCUAUUCAGUCAGCAGGAUUGCCAGGUCUGCCCACGGGAGGCCUCUGCAGGCCUUUGUUGGAGCAAAGCAAAUGCAGCUGUGCCAAGCGAGGACCAAGAAGACCCGGCUGGCAAGUGCUUAAGGGAAGCCUGGUGGGCUUCUACAGUGGCUUGUGCCAAGAGCUCUUGAGGUCAGCACCAUCUGGGAUGCUAAGAGUCUACAGGAGUAUUAUAGUGACCUCAGGUGACUCACCCAGGUCUGUCCCCUGAGAGGAUAUCAUAAGGCCCCACAGAUGAGACAGUGCACAUUUGAAUACAAGUGUCACUCUGUGUCAGCCCUGGGGUUAAGGGAUAGUCAGGGACUCCCCCAUCAAGGCUGACCAGCAUGCUGCUUCCUGGUAUUCUGGAGAGAAGGAGAACACCUUGCCUGGACUCCCCGUGGAUGAACAAGAGUUAAUGUCACUGGUGCCCUAUAUUCUCCUGGCUUGGAUCAAGAGCAGGCAGGCUGGUGUCCAUUUCAAUAUGACAUUAACUCACUAGGGCCGGAAUACAGUGACGUGGUACCUAGCUACUAUGGCAGCUGGAGCUUGAGAGGGACGUCUGAACAGCCCUGGCCACCAUGACCUGCAGCAGCUCCCCAGCCCAACCUCUCCAGCAAGAUGGCUGACAGACUUGAGGUCUGUCAGCAGAGACCUGGAUGAAAAAGCCCUUUGCUGAUAUAUUCCACUCCUCUCUAGUUUUAGGAAAAGGACCACCCACAUCCUUUGGAGAAGGGAGCAGAGCUGAGACAUUCUGAGGAUUCAGUUCCUAGCCUUCUAACAAUCCCUAGAUCUUUAGGGACUUCCUCAGGCAAGGAAAGUGAAGAGCCCAGAGGAAAGGCUGGAUCUUUAUGUCCACAUACUUUAUGUUCCACACACUGUAAUCCCAGAACCAAAUCUCCGCCGGGGCAGGCUUUGCUACCUUGUAUUUGUUUUCCCAGGCUCUCUGACCUCCUUUACAAAGCCUUUAUGACAGCUAAACUAACUUGGGGAGACCUUGUGAGAGCAGAGGCAGAAAGGAAGCAACCCCUAGACCAGCCCAGAGGCAUGCAGGCCCGGGUUAUUUUAUUAUUAAACGGGAUGCAGUGCAGAGCUGAAUGCUGCAUUGGUCUGGAGGUUUGGAGUGAAUGUCAGAUGGCCCAACCCUCUCUGCUUCACGGCCUAAUGUCCAGCCUUAACCCCUUCCCUUGGGAAUUGGAUAGGUCUUCAUACUGAACUUCCAUGAUGGAGGAAGUGAAGACCCUAAUCAAGCCUGCAAACAUGAAUCUUUAAGCAACCCAGGGUGGCCUGAGCCCAGCUCUCCCCAUUGCAUGCCCUGCAGGAGUAGGGGGUGAUGUUGGCACCAUGACUGCUUUGCCAGCUGCCAGGAUGGCAAGAGCAGAAUUGAGGACUAUUAGUGACUUCCGCCCACCUUUGUCCUGAAGAACGGCCAAGAAACCAUUCCUGGGCUUCCUGCUUGGUUUAGUUUUCAGAUACAGGGUCUCACUACGUAGCUGUGGCUGCUCUAGAACACGAAGUACGCCAGCCGACCUUACACUUGGGACAAUCCUCCUGCCUCUGCCUCCCCAGUGCUGAGACUACAGGCACGCACUACCACUUCUGGCUCCCAGACUUCUUUGAACUGACUGCCCAACCCAAAGCCGUCUGACCCACAGGUUUUUCUGAUUGGUAGAAAGCAGGGAAACCCUGUUCUGUGUGGGACCUCAAGUCCUUCCUGCCUCUCCCCCCCACCCCCCAACUUCCUCCACGGUGAGAAGGUAGGCCCUAGCACCAAAAGGCAGGCGAGCGCCUUUCAGCACCUGGACAAGGCCCUUCGGAGCUUCCCAGUAGGGUCUUUCUUCAUUCCUGGCUCUGGAGCCAGGGCUGAGAUCUGAAGCACCCAUGGGUUCUGUCCACUCCAAACAAACAAGAGACCUGGUUCACCAGGAAGUGAAAGGGUACUGGGUGGGGCUGGAAUGCCUGAGGGUGCCACAGCUUGUUCCCGAUCUUGAGUGGGCCCCCUCCUCACGCAGGCCUUUCCGCAUCUCUACAUUCACGCGGGGAUGUCGCGCCUAGAUCAAGUGGGGUGGACUCUACCACCACAUGGAACACAGAGAGAACCGACAACCCCUCCCUGUAGUCCCUUCAAGCCCCAACAGAGAAGAACACAGGGUCCCUCUACACCAGUCUCAGAGAGCCCGGAACACGUGUGGGCCACGGGUCCUGGAACCAGAGAAGCAGGCGUGGGCCGCUGCCAUCACCCUCUUCAGGUCAACAAGCACAAAAGCCGCGGCUGCAAACAAAGAAGCGCUGCAAACUAGCUGGGGAGGCGGGACAGGCGGCGCCGCGCCCCCUCCCCACGCCGCGCGGGCGUGCGGUGCCAUGGUCCCCGACGGCGCUCCUACCUGGCCGGCGCGGACCUCCUUCUCCAGCUCCCGGUGGCGGUUGUGCCACACGAGAGAAUGUCUAAUGAGACGAAGAAGACGUCUUUCCCCUCAGUUGCUCAGGAAGAACCAGGAUGAGGUUGAGCAAAGACAGCAGCAGGUGGCAAUUCCCCACCUCCAUCCCAUGUGGGUCCCUGCCUAAGGGAAAUGACUGGCUCCAGAUUGCCUCCUUCCUGAAUGAUGACAGCAGACAAGCGCUUCCACAAGGAUCCCUUGCAGAGAGUGUGGAAAAGUCAAGUUGGCCUCUGUGGUGGCCUGCAAAUGUUAAAAGGACCAAGAUGCCUUGGGAGAGAAAAUGUCAAGAGAGCUGUGUUUAAAUACCGUAAGAAUUGCUUGAUCUUAAGCAAAUUGCUUAUACUUCUGAGUUUCUCGGUCCACUCGCCUCUAAAAUGGGACGGAUACAACCUCCUGGGAUGAGCUAAGAGUGUGAACUGCCUAAAGACAGCGCCUCUCUCCUUCACCCAGGCUGAGACAGGUAGUAGGAACGAACAUGUUGCUUUCCUUGAGCCACCUCAAGGCAGAAAUAAGGAAUUCCUUGCCAGCCCGACUUAGAACAACAAUCUAGAGAGUGUUUGCGUGGGAGGUGACAGCAAAAGCUUGCAAACUCCUUGUGCCGGUCUCGGGUUUCUUUGUGUGGUCUUCUCCCCGUCUUCCUGCACACCCAGUGGUGCCAGGCCGGGAGGACUGAGGGAGGAAUAGACUGCCUCGCCCCUUUCUGCAGCCUGGGAGGAGCCGGUUGGCGUCUCUGCAGCCCAGGGCCGCAACCCACCUCCACCGCCAGGGGUCAGCAGAGUGUCGUGAUUGCAGCCCGAGUUGAGGAGGGGGCUAGAUUUAAGGAGGGACAACUAGGAGAGGUCGCAAGAAUGUUUGCACAAUUUCGCAUUAAAUCGUUUUCAGAACCUA